CAUUGUACCUUUCAACCUUCCCAGAGGCUUGUGGGUGAUAUGGGAUGUGAUACAUCCACUCAAUACCACGCCUCUUGGCCCAGGAGGUGACCAAAUUGUUUCGGAAAUGACUCCCAUUGUCAGACUCAAUUCUUUCUGGUGUACCAUGACGCCACAGCACUUGCCUUUCUAGGCCCAAGAUGGUGUUUCGGGCCGUGGCAUGUUUUACUGGAUAUGUUUUCAGA